GGAAUCUUCCACAAUGGGCGCGAAGCCCUGAUGGAGCAACACCGCGUGAGUGAAGAAGGGUUUCGGCUCGUAAAGCUCUGUUGUUAAAGAAGAACACGUAUGAGAGUAACUGUUCAUACGUUGACGGUAUUUAACCAGAAAGUCACGGCUAACUACGUGCCAG
rnacentral:rRNA from 1 species